UACGGAGGGUGCAAGCGUUAUCCGGAUUCACUGGGUUUAAAGGGUGCGUAGGUGGGUCUGUAAGUCAGUGGUGAAAUCUCCGUGCUUAACAUGGAAACUGCCAUUGAUACUAUCUGUCUUGAAUAUGGUGGAGGUGAGCGGAAUAUGUCAUGUAGCGGUGAAAUGCUUAGAUAUGACAUAGAACACCAAUUGCGAAGGCAGCUCGCUACACCUAUAUUGACUCUGAGGCACGAAAGCGUGGGGAUCAAACAGG
rnacentral:rRNA from 1 species